rnacentral:rRNA from 1 species
GUGAGGAAUAUUGGUCAAUGGGCGGGAGCCUGAACCAGCCAAGUCGCGUGAAGGAAGAAGGAUCUAUGGUUCGUAAACUUCUUUUGCAGGGGAAUAAAGUGCAGGACGUGUCCUGUUUUGUAUGUACCCUGAGAAUAAGGAUCGGCUAACUCCGUGCCAGCAGCCGCGGUAAUACGGAGGAUCCGAGCGUUAUCCGGAUUUAUUGGGUUUAAAGGGUGCGUAGGUGGUUUGAUAAGUCAGCGGUGAAAGUUUGCAGCUUAACUGUAAAAAUGCCGUUGAAACUGUCGGACUUGAGUGUAAAUGAGGUAGGCGGAAUGCGUGGUGUAGCGGUGAAAUGCAUAGAUAUCACGCAGAACUCCGAUUGCGAAGGCAGCUUACUGGGAUGCAACUGACACUGAUGCACGAAAGCGUGGGUAUCAAACAGGAUUAGAAACCCCGGUAGUCC